CCAAAUUUGGUUAUCGAGCAGCGGCACCCAUAAGCAAGUCUAACAAGGAAAUAAUAACAAAAAAAAAGUCGAACUGUGUAUAUACAGUAUCAUAUAUACGUUAAUUUGAAAAUAAAUAUAAAUACGUCAAGGCAUUCCAACCAGGUAUGCCCAGUAAUCUCGCGUUUCAACAACAACAAAACAAGAAACGACUCCGUGCACCAAUUAUCUAAGUAGCCAUGACGAUAGCUGCAAAGUAACAAUGGUACCAUUGUGAAGUGACUGUGGUCGUAUGUAGAACAUUGUAUGGUGCAGGGCUACAGUUGUUUAGGUAUCAAUGGUAAAAAUGAAGUUUCACGAACAGGAAGCCUACCAGUAGUAUGGUAUGCAUGCAACUGUAGUACCGGUAGUCAUAAAUAAUUUAACCUUUUAUGGUAAGAAAAUUGAACUUCAGUGUGUAACUGGAAGGCACAUGAUCAAUGAAUAAAUGGUAUUCUACAAGAUCAAGGUAGGAUUAAAUUUCAUGUGGAACUAACCACUUCAUACAGAACAUGGAAAAAGCAAAGGUACUCUGGAUCACUGGAUCAAGUCGACAGUGGAGCUGGCAAUGGCGAAGAAAGUUCUGGAUCCACUUUAAUCGGAUGAAAAGGCAGCAGAAUGUGUUCACCUUGUCUUGGAGAAUACUCGGAUCUUUUGCACUGUAGAGCAGGCAAGCAUCAUCAGCAAACAAUUUGCUCAAGAAAUUGGAGCAGUUAGACAGAUCAUUUAUGUAAAUUAAGAAACCAAGAGGACCUAACACACUACCUUGAGGAAUUCCGUGAUGAAUGGGCAACAUCGGAGACUGCUGAGAAUCCACCUCCACAUAUUGGAAUCGACCCGAAAGAUUCAAUAUCAUUUGGAGGACCUCUGCAGGAGUAGUUACUUCAAGAAAGAAAGAGCUUUGCAGAGGAGCACCCAAGAAGUACGCGAAUGAUUUUGAGCUAUGAGAGAGCGGUAUCAAUGUAGUUGUUACACAUCGACUCGACCUCAGAUCUGAAAGAGUCGCUACAAAAUUUUGUCAAAUCUCGCUUCAUCCGAGUUUUUGUCUUGGAAGAAACAUUUAAACCAGAGAUUGUACAAAUUACAGGAAAAUGGUCAGUAAUAUCACUAAGCAAAAUAAAUGAUGAAGAGACAUUACCUAUGUUAUUUGUAUAGAUAUGAUCUAUGAGGGUGUGGGUGGAUGAUGUGACUCUAGUUGGUUUUGUAAUCACAGGCAAUACGAAAUAGGACAUAAGCAUGUCCAAAUAUUUAGCAGUGGGAUUGUCAUGGGUGUCAAGUAGGUUGAUGUUGAAGUCACCUAAUAUUACAAACCUCUUUUUCGCCAUUGCCAGCUUCUCGAAAACAAGAGCCAUUGCUCCAGAAAAUGAGGGUAUAUUACAUUUGGGGUGUUUGUAAAUGACACCAACUACAAAUCUCUGGUUGUUCGAGUUAAGUUUGAUCUCUACCCACAAGUCCUCACAAUUUGGAAAUCCUAAAUCAAAUUCUUGGAUCACCUGGUAAUCUAAGUUGCUUUUAAGA